rnacentral:rRNA from 1 species
GACGAACGCUGGCGGCGUGCCUAAUACAUGCAAGUCGAACGAGUGGCGGACGGGUGAGUAACACGUGGGUAACCUACCCAUCAGAGGGGGAUAACACUUGGAAACAGGUGCUAAUACCGGAUAGUACGAGAUGAGCCCGCGGCCUAUCAGCUUGUUGGUGGGGUAAUGGCUACCAAGGCGCGACGGGUAGCCGGCCUGAGGGGGCGUACGGCCACAUUGGGACUGAGACACGGCCCAGAGUCCGACGGUAGGCAGCAGUGGGGAAUAUUGCACAAGGGGCGGAAGCCUGAUGCAGCGACGCCGCGUGAGGGAUGACGGACUUCGGGUUGUAAACCUCUUUCGCUAGGGAAGCGGUACCUGGAUAAGAAGCACCGGCUAACUACGUGCCAGCAGCCGCGGUAAUAC